ACCCAGUGCUAUAGAUUGUAGGAUAGGGUGAAAACAAUAUUGAUAACUGGACAGGAGUCAAAUAUGAGUGCAGGAAGCUGGAAUUGUAAUGCUGAAGAGGAUAGAACUGACAAUUUGAACUAAAAAUUCUUCAUAAAGGGGACAGGGCUCAUUUAAAGUUGAGACAGGUCUUAUCACAAACAACAUUUUAGCUUUAUGUUAUAAUGUAACAUGAAGAACUGCUGUUAUAUAG